GACGAACGCUGGCGGCGUGCUUAACACACGCAACUCGAACGGAAAGGCCCUGGUUUUGUGGGGUGCUCGAGUGGCGAACGGGUGAGUAACACGUGAGUAACCUGCCCUUGACUUUGGGAUAACUUCAGGAAACUGGGGCUAAUACCGGAUAGGAGCUCCUGCUGCAUGGUGGGGGUUGGAAAGUUUCGGCGGUUGGGGAUGGACUCGCGGCGUAUCAGCUUGUUGGUGGGGUAGUGGCUUACCAAGGCUUUGACGGGUAGCCGGCCUGAGAGGGUGACCGGCCACAUUGGGACUGAGAUACGGCCCAGAGUGCUACAGGAGGCAGCAGGGGGGAAUAUUGUGCAAUGGGCGGAAGCCUAAUGCAGCAACGCCGCGUGCGGGAUGAAGGCCUUCGGGUUGUAAACCGCUUUCGCCUGUGACGAAGCGUGAGUGACGGUAAUGGGUAAAGAAGCACCGGCUAACUACGUG
rnacentral:rRNA from 1 species